GAAUUAUCAGAAAAAUAGAUGCGACAUCUGUCACCCCAUUGAUCGCCAGGGUUGAUUCGGCUGAUCUGGCUGGCUAGGCGGGUGUCCCCCUCCUCCAAAUGAUAUUCUUAACAUAUUCUUCUUGCAUGAAAAAAAUUUAAUGUGUCAACUUUUCUCCAAAAUAGCGAGGAGAGGACCGGUCUUCGGUCAAGGGUAUACGAGUAGCUGCGCUCCCCUGCUAGAACCUCCAAACAAGCUCUCAAGUAUGUUUUUCUGAAUUAUCAGAAAAAUAGAAGACACUGUGUUCUGGAUUGGUGCCUACGGAAGCCAUCAUAAGCAACAAAGAAAACCACUGAAUUUUCAUGCUUCUUUAGUU
ensembl:misc_RNA 7SK 7SK RNA